GGAGAGGAACAUUUCUGAAACGUUGCUGUAACUUUGUGUGUAGGUUCUGCUUCAGUACUAGAAGAUGGAGGAGAGGAACAUUGCUGUAACGUUGCUGUAACUUUGUGUGUGGGUUCUGCCUUAGUACUAGACGAUGAAGGAGAGGAACAUUGCUGUAACGUUUUGUGUAGGUUCUGCUUCAGUACUAGAAGAUGGAGGAGAGGAACAUUGCUGUAACGUUGCUGUAACUUUGUGUGUAGGUUCUGCUUCAGUACUAGAAGAUGGAGGAGAGGAACAUUGCUGUAACGUUGCUGUAACUUUGUGUGUAGGUUCUGCCUUAGUACUAGAGGAUGGAGGAGAGGAACAUUGCUGUAACUUUGUGUGUAGGUUCUGCCUUAGUACUAGAAGAUGGAAGAG
ensembl:lncRNA